rnacentral:rRNA from 1 species
CCUACGGGGUGCAGCAGUGAGGAAUAUUGGUCAAUGGACGAGAGUCUGAACCAGCCAAGUAGCGUGAAGGAAGAAGGCUUUCGGGUUGUAAACUUCUUUUGUCAGGGAAGAGUAGAAGACGGUACCUGACGAAUAAGCCACGGCUAACUACGUGCCAGCAGCCGCGGUAAUACGUAGGUGGCAAGCGUUGUCCGGAUUUACUGGGUGUAAAGGGGGUGUAGCCGGGUUGACAAGUCAGAUGUGAAAUCCUGCGGCUUAACCGCAGAACUGCAUUUGAAACUGUUGAUCUUGAGUACUGGAGAGGCAGACGGAAUUCCUGGUGUAGCGGUGAAAUGCGUAGAUAUCAGGAGGAACACCGGUGGCGAAGGCGGCCUGCUGGACUGCAACUGACGUUGAGGCCCGAAAGCGUGGGGAGCAAACAGGAUUAGAUACCCGAGUAGUC